rnacentral:rRNA from 1 species
UGGGGAAUUUUGGACAAUGGGCGAAAGCCUGAUCCAGCAAUGCCGCGUGUGUGAAGAAGGCCUUCGGGUUGUAAAGCACUUUUGUCCGGAAAGAAAUCCUUGGCUCUAAUACAGUCGGGGGAUGACGGUACCGGAAGAAUAAGCACCGGCUAACUACGUGCCAGCAGCCGCGGUAAUACGUAGGGUGCAAGCGUUAAUCGGAAUUACUGGGCGUAAAGCGUGCGCAGGCGGUUUGCUAAGACCGAUGUGAAAUCCCCGGGCUCAACCUGGGAACUGCAUUGGUGACUGGCAGGCUAGAGUAUGGCAGAGGGGGGUAGAAUUCCACGUGUAGCAGUGAAAUGCGUAGAGAUGUGGAGGAAUACCGAUGGCGAAGGCAGCCCCCUGGGCCAAAUACUGACGCUCAUGCACGAAAAGCGUGGGGAGCAAAACAGGAUUAGAUACCCUGGUAGUCCACGCCCUAAAACGAUGUCAACUAGUUGUCGGGUCUUCAUUGACUUGGUAACGUAGCUAACGCGUGAAGUUGACCGCCUGGGGAGUACGGUCGCAAGAUUAAAACUUAAAUGAAUUGACGGGGUCUAGCUG